rnacentral:rRNA from 1 species
AUGCCUUCCUCUCCCUCCGCCAACCCGGGCCACGGCGUCGCCACCGCUGCCGCGGCGUCCAGGUCCACGGACCCCAAGGGCUUCGCCUCGUUCCUGCGCACCCAGGACGAGGUCGACGCGCUCUGCGAGGAGUACGGGGUACCCAAGGAUCAGUACACCGCGCGCCCCGCCGGAGACCUUUGCGCGAACUCCACGCCGCCGCCGGGGGCCAUCUGCGUGUACGCGCGCGCGCUGGAGGCCGGGAUGCGCGUCCCGCUGCACGGUUUCUUCCUCGAGGCGCUCGCGCACUUCGGCAUCGCGCCGGCCCAGCUCACGCCCAACGGGUGGCGCAUCAUGACGGGCUUCCACGCGCUCUGCCGCUCGACCGGCGUGCCGCCGUCGCUCGCGGUGUUCCGGCGUUUCUUCCGGCUGUCCGUCGUCCCCCACGAGCACAAAAAAGGCUGGUGUUUUCUCCGAUCUAGGGACAACUCCGGCUUGCGCUCCACCGGGAUGCCGCAUCCGUAUUCCAUUUCUUUAAUGGACUGGAAACACGACUUCUUCUUCCUCUGGUCGCCGGAGCCGUGGCCUUGCGCCGUGGAGUGGGGCGAGCCCAAUAACUCACUCAUGAUGCCGGUGCUAACCGGUGAGGAAAAUGAAUGGGCGGCCAAAUUGCUGCGUGCUUACGGUGGCGCGCCCGUUGAUCUCCGCAGCAGCAACCUUGUCGCCGCAUCGCCGCCGCCGCCUACUUCCAGUUCCAAAGGCAUGUAUCCCUCUGUCCAUGACAGGAUGAAGACGAAGCUCGAGAAGAAGGCGGCCGCGCGAGCGUCGGCGUCGGCAAAGAAGAGGACUCGGGAGGAAGCCAACGGCGAGGAGGAGGUUCCGCCUCUUUCAGCGCUGAGCACGCCACCGCCGGGGAAGCCACAACACUUGCUCAGCAGGCACGACGGAGACGGCACGGACUGGGAGGCUGCACGGGAACUCCUGCAGGGCCGCGCCGUCACGACGCCGCUGGGGCGCGCACUCGCGGCGAACGAGCCUUCCGAAGUCGUCAAGUCGAGCUACGCUGCGAUUCUGCAGGCCGCCAACUACGCGUCCUUCUCCUUCCGGUACGCUCUCGAGCUGGAGGAGAAGCUGGCGGCCAGCGAGCGCGAGGCCGCGGCGCUGCGGGAGCAGCUGGAGGAGGCAAAGGCCGAGCUCGAGGCGGCAGAAGGGAAGCAAGCAAAGGCGGCGAGGGCGGAGCUCGAGAAGGCGAAAGGCUGGCUCGCCGUGGCGAAGCGUGCUGGGGAGGCGCAGGCUGAGCUCGCCGCGGCUCGGGCAGAGGCGGUGAAGAAGAGGGCCGAGCUCGCCGCGUUGAAGCGGGCCGCGGAGGCGGAGGCGGAGAAGGCAAAGGCCGAGCUCGCCGCGGCGGAGGCGGAGGCGGCGCAGCGGCUUAUGGCGUCGGAGGAGGACGUGCUGCGGCGCGCGGAGCACGCGCUGGAGGGGUACGAGCGCUGGCGAAGCCGUCACGCUCCGGCAACAUCGCUUGAGUAG